GAUGAAGAACGUAGUGAAAUGCGAUACGUAAUGUGAAUUGCAGAAUUCAGUGAAUCAUCGAGUCUUUGAACGCACAUUGCGCCCCCUGGUAUUCCGGGGGGCAUGCCUGUCCGAGCGUCAUUGCUGCCCUCAAGCACGGCUUGUGUGUUGGGCCUCCGUCCUCCUCCCGGGGGACGGGCCCGAAAGGCAGCGGCGGCACCGCGUCCGGUCCUCGAGCGUAUGGGGCUUCGUCACCCGCUCUUGUAGGCCCGGCCGGCGCUUGCCGACACAUCAAUCUUUUUUCCAGGUUGACCUCGGAUCAGGUAGGGAUACCCGCUGAACUUAAGCAUAUCAUAAGGGAGGA
rnacentral:misc_RNA from 1 species